rnacentral:tRNA from 1 species
GGGGGAGUAGCUCAGCUGGUUAGAGCGCUACGUUGACAUCGUAGAGGUCAGCGGUUCGAUCCCGUUCUUCCCCACCA